GACGAACCGUGCGAACGUUGUUCGGAAUCACUGGGCUUAAAGGGCGCGUAGGCGGGCUGCCAAGUCUGGGGUGAAAUCCCACGGCUCAACCGUGGAACUGCCCCGGAUACUGGCGGCCUCGAGGGGGGUAGGGGCGUGCGGAACUGUGGGUGGAGCGGUGAAAUGCGUUGAUAUCCACAGGAACUCCGGUGGCGAAGGCGGCACGCUGGCCCGGUACUGACGCUGAGGUGCGAAAGCGUGGGGAGCAAACAGG
rnacentral:rRNA from 1 species